GCCGCCAAGAAUCCUGACUAUCCCGCGUGCAAUUACACAGUACAGACCGGCCUUUAUCACGGGCUUAAAACUGCAAGGAGCCUCUUUGACUCGUGUUCACAGAUUUUUGACUCGUGUUCGUCAUUUUUGGCUCGUGUUCACUCGUGUUCGUCAUUUUUGACUCGUGUUCACUCGUGUUCGUCAGUUUUUGACUCGUGUUCACUCGUGUUCGUCAUUUUUGACUCGUGUUCACUCGUGUCCACAAAUGUUUGGCUCGUGUUUACUCGUGUUGUCUCGUGUUCACUCGUGUUCUGACUCGUGUUCACUCGUGUUGUCUCGUGUUCACUCGUGUUCACUCGUGUUCUGACUCGUGUGGUCUUUUAGAAUAGAUCGGAUGGAAGAGGGUUUUACAGCAUAUGUCAUAUUGAUGCCAAUCCCUUAAUUACUUAAUCUGUAUACUAUGCAGAUGCAGUGAGUGCAGCCAAGGAAGUAUUCAUGUGAUUAUGUCGCUGUGACAGUGACAUUUGUUGAUAACCCAAUUAAGCUAAUUCAAUUAAGGUUGUCAUCGCAAUUGUACAAUAUUUAUGUGAGUGCUAAAAGAAUUAUGGGAAUACAGGUGUAUGUACCACAGAAUACCACACAAAUUUACAUGUUCCAUAUCUUUUGUCAAAUGCAUAUAACAUAGCCUGUAAAAUAUUUUUUGGUAUAGUUUUUCAUUAUUUGUUUUCUUCCUGUGGGGUCUUGGGGUUAGAUUUGAUAGAUUCUAUUAUUUUUUAAAUCGGACAUUCUGUGGAUAAAAUCCUAAUGUACCACAGAAUACCAGUACGGCAAUAAGUAAGGAACGGUUUAUCAUAUUGUAUACGCGGAUUUGGUGUGUCAUGUUGUGUGAUAACACUGUUCAGAUAUUGCUAACUUAAUUUAGUGGAAGGUAAACACUAAAAUCAGUACAGAGUACUGGUGGUAUGUACCACAGUAUAUUAGGUUUACCAAUAAUAUUGAAAAAUUGAGUUUUUUAUAGUAAAUUUGAUUACUCAGUGAGAUUCCUGAAUAGUAAAAAUGUUGUAUCGCUUAGAAAAACUGUUGAUGAAUGUAAAUCAUGUUGGUUUGCGAACUUAUUUUCAAACUUUCUGACUUUACGGGCAUUAAGCAGA